rnacentral:rRNA from 1 species
GACGAACGCUGGCGGCGUGCUUAACACAUGCAAGUCGAACGGUGACCCAGGGCUUGCCCUGGUGAUCAGUGGCGAACGGGUGAGUAACACGUGGGCAACCUGCCCCUGACUUCGGGAUAACUCCUCGAAAGAGGAGCUAAUACCGGAUACGACCACUUCGGACAUCCGAUGGUGGUGGAAAGUUUUUCGGUCAGGGAUGGGCCCGCGGCCUAUCAGCUAGUUGGUGGGGUAAUGGCCUACCAAGGCGACGACGGGUAGCCGGCCUGAGAGGGCGACCGGCCACACUGGGACUGAGACACGGCCCAGACUCCUACGGGAGGCAGCAGUGGGGAAUAUUGCGCAAUGGGCGAAAGCCUGACGCAGCGACGCCGCGUGAGGGAUGAAGGCCUCGGGUUGUAACCGUACUUUCUAGCAGGACGAAGCGAAAGUAGACGGUAACCUGCAGAAGAAGACACCGGCGUAAC